rnacentral:lncRNA from 1 species
AGAUAUCAUCACUUUAUUAAAAUAAGAAUGUCAUUAAAAUAUAGAAAAAGACAAAUUUCACAUUUUAUGAAUUCAUUUUCAAAAUGAAUACAUCUUGAAAAUACAAAAGAUUUCAAAAUUCAUUACAUGUGUAUUCACCUCAUUUUCAACCAACAAACUACAUAGUGAUAUCCGUUUAAAAGGUAAUAAAAAUUGUCAAAUCAAGAAAAACUAGCAAAAUCAUUUUUUCUAUUUAAGACAUAUGCUAUUCAUUCACAAUUUUUGAUAACAAUACGAGACUCUCAUCUCUGGCUUUCUUUAUUUUCUUAAUAAAUUUUAUCACUAGUCUAACAUCUAACUUGCGUGUCCAAAUAAUUAUUACAUUGACGUCUCGGAUCAAAAAGAUGGAAAGAGACAUGGAGAAUCCAAAGAUAAGUGAAUACACUUGAUGGAAGGCUGAGCUCCAUUCACUGUGUAUUUAAUUCAUUCAUCUAAAAUUCAUGAAAUUGUCUUUACUUAAUCUAAUCAGUCAAUGACUUUUUUUGUAAAAGAGAAAAUCCAAUUGUGAAGAAGAAAAAGGGCAAGAGAGAUUUUACGAUGCGAUGUGAUGUGAUGUGAUGUGUUAAAAGAGAUAAGUCACAGCAGCAAAAAGGAAACCAGAAGCAUGACAAGUUAAUUAUCAUUUGGCCCUUGUUAAUUUCUUUUCAUCAUUGUCCAUUUCGCCUUGUUACUUUCACUUUGACUCAUCAACUCAAUCAUUGUUUCGAAGUAAAAUUAAUAGCCACCAGUAUAUGCUCUCGUACUAAUCUUGAGCACAUCAUGUUACAUGGAUCCACUAAUCACCGAACAUUAUUUGCAUUAAUCCGACGUCUUUCUCUUCUUAUUUUAUUAGUUAAUAAUAAUAAUAAUAAUUACAAGUUCUUUUGAUUCCUACAAUAUCUAAACCAAUGCCCCAUUGGCUUAGUGAAAGCAUUCUUGCACUCAUAGGUCAUGUUUGGUUUAAAGAAAGGGAAGGAGAGGAAAAGAGUGGAAUGGAUGGGAAGAGAGAAGAAAAGAAUGAAGGAGAAUAGUGAAAUUAAAUUUCAUUAUUUGGUUAAACAAAAAAUCUGAUUGGGAAAUAAAUUACAAAUUUAUCAUUGGCCUUAAUUACCUAUAUUAGUAAUGAAAUAUAAUUUAAUAUUAAUACCAAACUUUUUUAAUGUCAAAAAGUCCUAAAACAAUUCAAGAUUUACAUUUAAUAUAAAAUAUAAAAUAAUUUAAUAUACUAAACUAUUUAAUAUAAUUUAAUAUAAAUAAAAGGCGGUCAACAGCUGUGGUCAACAGAAGUCAAUGGCGGUCAACGGUGGUCGGUGACUUUCCGGAGAAAUUCCAUCAGCUUCUAGCGAUGGUCUGAGGGUCCGGCGAAUUUCUAGCGAAGGCCUGACAGGUUUCUGGCGACGAUCCAGUGAUGAUUCGGCGGGGUUCUGGCGACAGUUAAUUUAUAUUUCUAUA